GUUCGUGAUGAUCAUUUUAACAACUACUGGAAAUUACCGGCUGAGAUUUCUCAUUGACGAUAUCAAAUGGCUUUGACUGAUU
rnacentral:snoRNA from 1 species